rnacentral:lncRNA from 10 species
GUAGGGAUGAAUCUCAGACUUGCUGUGUUCGGAAUUAUCUUCCUCAUCCCAUGACACAGACUUUUUUACUGAGUCAACCUAAUCUUUCCUGGAUCAUUCCUCUCUCGGGACCAGUCCUCUUCCAGAAAAUUUCUCAGUCUUUAUGCAGACAAGAUUCUGGGGGCUGACACUGCUUUUUUUGCCAGAUGUCCCUAGACACAUCUGAAUCUCUUUUAGUCUCAAGCUGGAGCCUUUUUCACCAUUGCACAAAAAGCUGGGUAUAGUUCAAAUUCCUGACUGUAUAUUCUGAUUCCCCUGGGCAUUUACACUCUGCCAUCCCACACAGUUCCCCCUCCUGUGUGAGGGUCCUAUUGCAAUUCAUUAGCGUGCUUUUUUUUUUUUUUUUUUUUUUUUUUUUGCUUUUUGUUUUGGAGACGGAGUCUUGCUCUGUCCCUCAGGCUGGAGUGCAGCGGCGCCAUCUCAGCUGAAUGCAACCUCUGCCUCCUGGGUUCAAGAGAUUCUCCUGCCUCAGCCUCCCAAGUAGCUGGGAUUACAGGUGCGUGCCACCACGCCUGGCUAAUUUUUUGUAUUUUUAGUAGAGACAGGGUUUCACCGUGUUAGCCAGGAUGACCUUGAUCUUCUGACCUCGUGAUCCUCCCACCUCAGCCUCCCAAAGUGCUGGGAUUACAGGCGUGAGCCACAGCGCCCGGCCUUCAGCGUGCUUUUUUUUUUAAUGGUUUGCUAUAUUUACAUCUGGUUUCUCCUUCUGAAUGAACGCAAAAGAUUCUUCAAAAUCAAACUGUGUCCGGAAUUGGUGGGUUCUUGGUCUCACUGACUUCAAGAAUGAAGCCACGGACCCUGGCGGUGAGUGUUACAGCUCUUAAGGUGGCGUUUCUGGAGUCUGUCCCUUCUGAUGUUCAGAUGUGUUCGGAGUUUCUUCCUUCUGGUGGGUUCGUGGUCUCGCUGGCUCAGGAGUGAAGCUGCAGAUCUUCACGGUUGCUAGUAACACAAUAAUAAAGCUGCUUUAUUUUCCAGUGAAGAUGUAUGUGAUAGGGAGUGGAGGAAGAAAAAGGCCAGAAAAUUCCAUAGUUAGCAAAUAUACCUUUCUUACUUAAAAUUCUUUUUCCAAUGUGAGCCUUCUAAAGAGUUACUGAGAAAUUAGGUGAGCUCACCUCAUUUAAUGCAAUAGAUAUGUUUCUGAAAAAUAAGCAAUACAUAGGACAUUGGCCAAUUAAGAAUUCUGAUGAAGAAGAAUUUUCACAUCCGAAAGAGUAAAAAUGAAAAACGGUACAAAUGUAGUGGCUUUUAAAUUUCAAAACAAAUUAUUUUGAUAAGAUAAAUAUUCCUCUCAUAAAGUGAAAAUGGAAGAGACUGCUUGCUGGGUGUUCGUCAAAAUGGAGUUAGAUGGUCUGUCCCAGACUCCCCUGUUGUUAGUUCUGAGAACAGAAGUAAUGGUGCUUCUUCAGGACUGGCUCAUAGAAACCUGCCGUGUUCAGCCCCCACAAUCCUCUCCCUUCUGCUGGCUGGAAACAAAUGACAACGAAGCCUCACGUCUUGGAGAAACCACACUGCUGAGGAACUCAAGUCCUAGAAGAACCAUUUGAAGAGACCCAUCUCACUAAAGAAAAUCACACAAGCAAGAAGUAAACUUCAUUGUAUCUAUGUAUUUAAUUGUCAUAACAGUCUACCUUAACUGAUACAGCAAAAAUUCGCUCCUUUUCUGGACACCCAGUUUCAAAAUCUCAGUGUCAUUUUUUACUUCUCUCUUUUCAGGUUGUUUAAUAUAAUAAAAUUUGUGUGUGUGUGUGUGUGUGUGUGACAAGGUCUUGCUCUGUUGCCCAGGCUGGAGUGCAAUGGCACGCUCCCAGCCCACUACAGCCUUGACCUCCAAGCUCAAGUGUUCCUCCCACCUCAGCCUCCAGAGUAACUGGGACUACAGGCAUGGGCCACCACACCCGGCUAAUUUUUGUACUUUUUGUAGAGACAGGGUUUCACCAUGUUGCCCAGGCUGGUCUUGAACCCCUGGGCUCAAGCGAUCUGCCCAUCUCCACCUCCCAAAAUUCUAGGAUUACAGGCGUGAGCCACUACACCCAACCAUUUUAUUUUUAAAAGUUUUCUUUGCAAUAUUGCUCACAUUGUUUCCUUCCUUUUUAUUCUUAUUGUCACUCCCAAGUUCAGGCUUUUACCUCUUUUAUUUGAAGUAUUAAAGUAUACUUCUAAGUCAUUUCUGUGGCUUAAAUUUAUUUAAUCCACUCCAUCCUGCAUCCUACCAACACAAUAACAUUGUUUCAUCAUUUCAAAUUGAAAUCGAAACUCUCCAAAGCUUUCCUACUGCUGAAUGGAUAAAAACACAAAAUCCUCAAUAGAGAAUUCACUUUCUGGAGCCAACUUACCUUUCCAAAUAUUUCCCAUUAUUCCCUAAGAGAAUCCUCCUGACAUACUCACUGUUUUUCAUAUACACUAGACCUUUUCUCAACCACCUAUUUGUCCACACAUUUUUCUUCCAGCUAGAAUAUUAUUUUCCCUUUCUCACUUCUGAAAGUCUUACCUGUCAUUCAUGGUUCAUCUCAAGCUCAAUCUUCUCCUUGAAACCUUUAAGCAUACCCUCCUGGAAAGUUAUCUCCCUCACCUCGAACCACCCCCCCAGCCCCUGCCAGAAUCUCCUAUAGGGCUGAUUGUUUAUCCUGCUUAUUAUAUAUUUAUAAAACACUCCACUGAGUUAUUAAUUACCUUUUCCUUGACUGUGAAAACAUGACUCUGGCUUCAAGGUAGGACCAUUUUUUCUCUAACACUGUGUCUCAUACACUUCAGCACAAGCUCUUAGUGGCCUGUGCAUUCAACUCCCAUGCAUAGCCACUUCCUCCAGGCAAACCCCACAGCCAGCAUCCAAAUUUUAAAAGGGGUUCUGUCAUCAACCCAAAGUUUCUUCUCUCUCAAGGAACCUAGAUUUAGAAGUUGAGUCUAGGCCACCUGUCUAAGAUACAGUAGUUAAUUUAACAUAUUUUAUUGCUCUCAACAUCACAGAGAAAGAGCCUUACUGCAGAUCUCAUUCUUUCCUUCAAAGCCAGUUUGCCCAUUCCUCUUCAGAAACCUUUAAGAGUGGUUAUUGGGAGAGAUGAUAAGACUCCAUCUGCUUAAGGAGUCCCUCUAACCCAGAAUAGUAGAUGUAAACACCUGACAUGUUGUUAUAGAGUGAAUGUUUGUGUUCCCCUCCAAUCCAUAUGUUGAAAUUCCAAGCCCCAAUGUGUUCGCAUUGGGAGGUGAGGCCUUUGGGAGGUAAAUAGAUCAUGAAGGUGAAGUCUUCAUGAAUGGAUUAGUGUCCUUAUAAAAGAGACCCCAGAGAGCUCUCUCAUCCUGUUUCUGCCAUGUGAGGACACAGCAAGAAGUUGGUCAUCUGCAACCUGAAGUGGCUCCUCCCCAGAAACUGAAUCUGCUGGGGUCUUAAUGGUGGGCUUCCCAGCCUCCAGAAUUAUGAGUGUAAAUGUUUGUUGUUUAAGCUACCCAGUCUAGGGUAGUUUGCUAUACUACCCCAAACUGACUAAGAUACAUAUGUUUGUCAUCCACUCAGUUGUUUUCCUAAAAUAAAUGAAGUCAGCUCCAAAGAUGAAUUUUCAUCUCUUUUUGUAGAGAUGGGUGCUAUUAUGCUUUUUAAUGAACGUUUAUUCACAAAUAAAAACAAAACAUACCUCUCACAUCCUCAGAGCAAAUACUUACAGUAACAUACAUUGAUGCUCACAAGCUCAUUACAUUUCAUGUUUACUAUUCAUUGAUAACAUUACAUUUAUUAUUAUCACAUAAACCAUACCUCCUGUUUAUGAAGCACUUAUGGUGUUUUAGUCAAUGUUAUGGUACCUGCUAUAUAUGGUCUCUAAUUUUAUUUUAACUUCCUAUAGUAAACAAUAUUAGGUGCUAACUCAAUAGUCAUUUUCUAACCUGAUUUUUCCUUGCAAACAGAACCCCAAAUUUGUUUGGAGAGAAAUGUGUCCAAAUCCAAACAAAGCAUCACCAUUUCUUUGAACCAUCAUAAGGAUCUAAUCAUUUUUUUUGUUUUCCUAGCCUCCCUCUAGCCAGAGAUACUGGGUAACACAGUUCUGGCUGAGAAGACAAGAGAAGAAAUCUGCUAAGCAUUUCUGGAAAAAGUUUUGAUUUGCUGAUGAAAGGGAACAGACAUACUGGUUGCCUUCCUUUUCCCUUUCAGCUGCCUAGUCGCCAUUUUGCAAUGUGAAACAACAUCAUUAAGGAAAGAUCAAAACAAUUGCAGAGAUGUCAACCAUCAUGCCUUUGAAUUCAUGCUCACAGUUGUCUGCCUCCAGAUUCAGUUAUAUUUGAGGUACUCUUUGAGUUAAGAUCCUUCUCAUUUUAUACCACUUGCAGCUGAACACACUCCCCACUAAUUUACCUUGUAAGGUGAAUUUCACUUAAAGGAAGAACACAUAAGUCAGGGAAUGACACAUAAUAGUAAAUGCAGGGUUUUUUUUUCUAUUUAUGAUAUAGAUUUAUACAACUGCUAUGUUCUUGACAUUGUACCAAUUUCAAGGUACAAAUAAGACAUAAUCCCUAAAAGCAUGGGUUACAAAAUCUGGGUUCAGCAUAGGGUUUCAUGAUAAACAAACAAACACAAAUUGUUUUUUAUUGUAUUUCCUUCUUCUUCACAUCUUGUGAAUCUAAGAAAAAUAUCAGAAUGUUCGUUUCAGCUCAAUUUUUGAAGAGUACAAUCUCUAAGUAAAAAGAAACUGUAAAUGUUUAUAAAUGUAACUAGAGCCUAGUAGAAAAUAAAGCCAUGCAAGUGUGUUUAGGUCCUAAUCUUAUUAACCAGAUUAGUGACACACAGUCUGCCCAAAGUUAAUGAAAGCAGUGAGGUUCUUUGACUUCAGUAGAUACACACCUGAACCACAGAGAUAAACUUGCUUCAAACCUGUGCGAUAUGUUUUUCUAAGCAUAAAAUUGAGCAUGAUAGCUCCAAUUUCAGUCUCAGUUUCAAAGCUUCCCUUUCCCGAAUAAGAGGCAAACUGUCACAUUAAAUUUAGCGAAUUAAAAUCAGUUAACUUGAAAAGCUCUUGGCCCCAAUGCAGAGAAAAUUGUUUGCAUAAUAAUAACUUAUUUCCUUUUUUAAAAGGCGGACUUCUGCCUGAAUGCUUCUAUAAACUUUUAAGAAAAUGGGAUUCUCAAAUCUCAAGCGUAUUGGGUUGCAGUUGGCACUUGAAGCUGGGGACAUGCAGAGCUGGCUAAUGUCAGCAGCUGUAGGACUGUCAAGAAAAAUAGGUGGAAGGGACACUUUUAUUAUAAGUAGACUUGCAAGGCAUUCCAACUUUCAGCUGCUCAACCCAGUAUACCAAACACCUCUGACUACCUCAAGUGUGGCCUUGCUGAGUGCUUCCAUAUUUAGGGGUUAUUAGACAGGACUGAAGCAAGUGACCUCUAAUGAGGAAGCAAUCAGGGCAGGCUCUGACCCUCCUCAGAGGUACUGUAAUGAACUGGCCUUGGAAGGUCUUUGAUGCUGCCUUUGCAUACUGUAUAUGAGCUUUCUGCUCAGUCAUUUCCUCUGCGCUCUGGUAGCACAGCAUGAAGCCUGCUAUUAGAAAAAAGGUUUAUUGCUACCUUGCAAACAUUUAUUGGGUAAUAUCUAAAACAUGGUGUCAAGUUAUAGUAAUGCGCUGUUCUGGGAAACUUUUUGAGAAUUUUAGUGUUUCAGAAGAUGGUCCUUUGAGAAUUCUUCUGUUUCAGAAAUGAAAAGUGGUAGAUAUAUACGUGUGUGUGUAUAAUAUGCUCAUGUAUCCUCUGAUUACUUGCCAGAGAUGUACCAUUUUUCUUUCAAGGGAAACAUCUAUUCCUAAGAUAGAUUAUUCUUGAAAUUUUCAAAGAGUAUGCCUCAGAGAACAAAUAUACAAAUUUACCAUUUGUCUGCAGAUAUUAUUUGCCUGUGUUUAUGCUAGGUCACUGACACCACACACAUUUUAAUCCCCAAGGGAAUUUAUUUGGUGGUGUUAUCUACUCAACCAAGCUGAAGCUUAUCUAGUUCACAAGAAAAUAGUCAAUAUGAGCUCCAUGCAGACUUAUGCUGUUAAUGCAGAAGAGGGAAAGAGAAUUUACCUUUAACUGUUAUGAUGAAAAUGUGUACAAUGACACUUAACUAUGGCAUGCAAAUCCUCUUUUCCUCCCCCACAGGUAUCUGGAAAGUACCUUAUACAGCUAGGUGCUUAGAAAAUGUUUAUUGAUUAAAUAGAUGAUGAUUAACAGAUUAAUAAAAGGUGAAAGUUACUAUCUAUGCAUUUUUUUCCAGUUUGAUGUUCAAAAACUUACCAAUGGAUGGGGAGUUGCUUUUCAUAAACAAUUUAUAAAGCACUGUCCUGGAUGAAAUUGUAAAAAGGACGUGGUGUCAAAGAUGACUCAGUGGAGUUGAGGUGAAAAAUGUGUAAUGAGCAAAUCAUGGUAAUUGGGAUAUCCAUCACCUCAAACCCUUAUCAUGUCUUUGUGUUGAGGACAUUUCAAAUCUUCCCUUCCAGCUAUUUUGAAAUAUACAACAAAUUAUUGUUAAGUGUAGCCACCCUAGUGUGCUACUGUACACUAGGACUUACUUAUUCCUUCUAUCUAACUGUAUUUUUGAACCCAUGAACCAACAUCUCUUUGAUUUCCAGCCUGGGCUUUGGUGUCCCUUUUUUUGUGUGUUUUCAUAGGGCCCUAUAUUUAUAUUAUUUGGGCUCAACACAUUGCAAAACUGCAGAGGAGUUUACUAUUAUGCACAUUAUUAUUCUAUAUUCUGUCACUCUAAGAAACAAUAAGUGACCAUCUGAAGAGACCAUCUUCUAGCACCAAAAUAUUUAAAGAUGAUUAAGAAUAAGACAAGGGUCUCCUUAUUUACAAAAUGACAUAAUUGAAAGGACUAGAUUAUUAGCAACCCCUCUGGAAAAGGAUUACUCUUUUGGAUUUUAAUUACAUAACUAAUAUAUCAACUGAAGUGCUAUGCCCUGACGUGUGCUCCCCUCAGCUUCACGAUCCAUAUGUUGAAACCCAACCCCUUAAUGUGAUGGCAUUUGGAGAUGGGGCUUUGGAGAUAUUAGUUAGGUUUAGAUAAGGUCAUGAGAAUGGGGCUCUUAUGAUGAGAUGAGCACCUUCAUAAAAAGAGACACGAGGUAUUUCUCUUUUCUCUCUUCUCUCUCUCCCUCUUUCCCUCCCUCCCUCUCUCCUCCUUCUCUGUCUUCCUCCUUUAUGUGAGGACAUAGCCAGAAGGCAGCUGUGUCUGCAAGCCAGGAAGAAAGCCCUCACCAGGAAUCAACUAUAUCAGCACCUUGAUCUUGAACUUCUAUCCUUAGAACAGAGAGAAAAUGAAUUUCUAUUCUUGAAGCCACCCAGCCUACGGUAUUUUGUUAUGGCAGUCAAGCUGAAUAAGAUAUAUAUCUACACUGAGACCAUUAAAAGUAGUUCCUGAUUGGCAGAAAGGUUGUAUAUAUAAAUGGCUCAUUGAAAGUUCUCACUGCAUGGAUGAGAAAUCUCAGAUUGAGGUUCUUAAAUUUUGAAAAAUAGAAAUAAAGGAAUUAACGCAACAGUCUUCUAAUCUUUCUGCCUUCAGUUUUUGCUCCCUUUGACUAUUCUCUGUACACUGCAUCCAGAGGUUAUAUUUUGACAGGGAAAUUCAAAUGAUGUAUAUUAUUUUUCUACUCAAAAUCUCCCCACUGGCACCCUAUUGUCCUAAAGCAUAAACUGCUAUUGCAGUCAAUUCACCUGAAAUAAGCUCUCUUCCUGCCGCGUCUUUUACAUAGAUUGUUUACUCCUCUUGUGAUCCCAGUUCCCUGCUUCUCCCUCUCCUCCACACUUUUCAAUAAUUAAAUUAUACUCAGCGUUCAGAAUUCAGUCAGGAUAUCCUACCUUCUUUGGUCAGCCCCCCAGGGUUUUCUGAAAGCUGGGAAGAGGCCCUCUUCUGCAAUCCCCAUGCACUGUAGACACAUCCCCUUUAGGUCCCUAUGUUGUGAGUGACUGUUUUCUUGUCUGUCUCUGCCACUAUAUUAUGCACUCUUAGAAGGCAAGGACUACUUCUCUUCAUUGUAUACCUAGAACUUAACCCAAAAACUGGCAUGUGCAUGCACCCAAGUUUUCACUGAGAAAAUAAUUGCAUGAGUCACUUGCUUUCCAGGUCUUUCUGACUACUAUGAUGGUGAUGACUUGUAGUCACAACAUGAAAUUGGUUUCUGCCCCUGAGGAUUGUAUCUCUCUACUUUGCAUGACCCCUAGAUUUCAAUCCCUCUUUAUUCUCUCCUGAUCCUUGGGUUCCAGUAAUUCUCUGGGUUUCAAAUAUAAGCACAGUGUGAGGAGCUCUUCAUUCUUGACAGAACUUUCAGGCAAGAAAGAAAUAGAUUCCUGGGAAUAUCUAUAUUCCCUCUGGCCCUAUUCCUUACUCCCAAAACAUAAUAACCCUUUUCUUAGGUUUUUUCUCUCUACCUUUUUACUUCUUCCUUAUUCUCACGAUUACAUGAAUUAACUGCCUACAGAGUAUGAAUUCAGACUGAAUUAAUAUGUAUUUAUGUGACAUAAAAGAUCUCUUUCAGUACUUCUUAAUCUUACCAAAUGAUGCAUACUAUACAAUAAAAAAUUGCAAUUUUUUCAUUAGCUUUUUUUUUUUUUUUUGGUUUCUGGUAGGGUUUUCCUUUAGUGGUAUUUUAGCAAGUAAUACAAUCCAGUUAUUUUUAAAAGUAUAUUAGUAGAAACUCACCAGAAGUCAAUAUACUGGUCCAAGAAUAAUUAACUGAUUGACUUUAUUGUUUAUGAAACUUUGUAAUGUUCCUUUUGAUGUGAAUGCUUAUCUUAGGGGGAAAUGCACUUUUCAAAUAUAAAUGAUCAUGUUUAAACAAACUGCUUCUAGUUUCAAAUAUGGCACUGAAAAACAAAAUAAAAUAAACACUCAAUUUUUAUUUAAAAUGGUGGGCAAUUUACUUUCUUUUUUGUUUGGGAUCUGAUUCAAGAGCCUCAAUUCAGCUUAUUGCAGAACUAACUAAACUAAACCUCAAAGGAAAAAUUUUAAAAAUGAUUUUUAUAGCAAUGACAUCAUUAUAUAAAAUGUUGGCAUUUCAUAUUUUCCAAACAGAAACUUGGAAAUAACAGAAUACAAGUUAAAUAAAACAAAUUGAAACUAAUCCAAUUCUCUGUUUUUCUUUCCCUUUUUAAAAACCAAGCUUUUUAUUGCCAGCUUUUACUUUGCAUAAUAAUAUAUGAUGAAUUGUCCAAGAAAGACCCAGUGGGUACAUUUCUCUUAGAAAUAAGCCUCUCUAUGCAAUAGGAGGCCAAGUUCUAGGGCAACAUACUUAUAUAAUCAUGUAAGAUUUUCCUUAUUGCUAACAAUUGACCAACCUGGGCAUUUGUCAAAUAUGUAAACACAUGGAGGUCACUGGUCACCAGAGGAUUGAAAACACAAAUCACUCUAUUCAUAUCCAUCCCUAGUUCUAGAAAAACAAUACCAAAUUAAAGCAUAUAUCCUACUAGCAAUAGGACUAGCAAAAUUAUUUUGGUAUACCAGAGCUACAUGUUAUACAUUUUGCUACUUAUGGAUUUAAUUACUCAGGAUAAUUAUACACAUGGCUACAACUGUAAACUUUAUAAUAUUUUGCUGGCAUACCUUCCAAAAGAGUUUGAAAAGCUAUGAAUUUAAUUCUAUAUUUGCAUUUGACAUAUAAAGUAC